rnacentral:rRNA from 1 species
ACUCCUACGGGAGGCAGCAGUAGGGAAUCUUCCACAAUGGACGAAAGUCUGAUGGAGCAACGCCGCGUGCAGGCUGACCCUCCUAUGCAUUGUAAACUGCUUUUGUAAGGGAAGAAACCCUCCGGGAGUAACUGCCCGUACCUUGACGGUACCUCAUCAGAAAGCCACGGCUAACUACGUGCCAGCAGCCGCGGUAAU